AAACUUGAGAGUUUGAUCCUGGCUCAGAACGAACGCUGGCGGCAGGCCUAACACAUGCAAGUCGAACGAAGGNCCGGAGCUUGCUCCGGNNACCUUAGUGGCGGACGGGUGAGUAACACGUGGGAAUUUGCCCAGGAGUGAGGAAUAACGUUUGGAAACGAACGCUAAUACCGCAUACACCCUACGGGGGAAAGGCUUCGGCCGCUCUUGGAUAAGCCCGCGUCAGAUUAGCUUGUUGGUGAGGUAACGGCUCACCAAGGCGACGAUCUGUAGCUGGUCUGAGAGGAUGAUCAGCCACACUGGGACUGAGACACGGCCCAGACUCCUACGGGAGGCAGCAGUGGGAAAUAUUGGACAAUG
rnacentral:rRNA from 1 species